rnacentral:pre_miRNA from 1 species
AGGCAGUGUAAUGUUAGCUGGUUGGAAAGUAUCAGACACCGGUUAACUUACACCUGCCCCC